UGGCAGGAAGUUUCCAGAGAUGGAUUCGUGCUCGAAAGAGAACCUGCACACAGGUGCUGCAUGGCUGUCGUCAGCUCGUGUCGUGAGAUGUUGGGUUAAGUCCCGCAACGAGCGCAACCCUUGCCAUCAGUUGCUACGAAAGGGCACUCUGAUGGGACUGCCGGUGACAAACCGGAGGAAGGUGGGGGAUGACGUCAAGUCCUCAUGGCCCUUAUAGGUGGGGCUACACACGUCAUACAAUGGCCGGUACAAAGGGCAGCAAACCCGCGAGGGGGAGCCAAUCCAUCAAAGCCGGUCGUAGUCCGGAUCGCAGUCUGCAACUCGACUGCGUGAAGUCGGAAUCGCUAGUAAUCGUGGAUCAGCAUGUCACGGUGAAUACGUUCCCGGGUCUU
rnacentral:rRNA from 1 species